GACGAACGCUGGCGGCGUGCUUAACACAUGCAAGUCGAACGAGAGCGUAGAGAAAGCUUGCUUUUUCUACAAUCUAGUGGUAAACGGGUGAGUACGCGUAAACAACCUGCCCUACGGAUGGGGACAACAGCUGGAAACGGCUGCUAAUACCGAAUACGUUCCGAAAGUCGCAUGACUAUCGGAAGAAAGGAUGGCCUCUAUUUAUAAGCUAUCGCCGGAGGAGGGGUUUGCGUCUGAUUAGCUAGUUGGAGGGGUAACGGCCCACCAAGGCGACGACCAGUAGCCGGUCUGAGAGGAUGAACGGCCACAUUGGAACUGAGACACGGUCCAGACUCCUACGGGAGGCAGCAGUGGGGAAUCUUCCGCAAUGGGCGAAAGCCUGACGGAGCAACGCCGCGUGAGUGAAGACGGCCUUCGGGUUGUAAAGCUCUGUUAUACGGGACGAAUAAUCUUGUGGUUAAUACCCAUGAGAAGUGACGGACCGAAGAGAAAGCCACGCAUC
rnacentral:rRNA from 1 species